UACAAGUGUCAGGUUUUAUUGCUUACUUUGAAGAACAAGAUGUUUUUUGGAUCUUGCUCAAAUCAUGUUAGCUCAUGCUGAUGUCAUUAAAGUAAAGCACUGAAGUCCAGUUCUCCGGAGUCUUCACCUGCAUCUGUGCUACUGUACGAGAGAAACGAAUCACAGGCCACAAAACAUUCUCACCUCAUUAUAAGUGACCAGAGGCCCUGUUACUCACCUACAUUUACCUCCCCACUUUGAGGCCUUUCAGUGAAG